rnacentral:rRNA from 1 species
UACGAAGGGGGCUAGCGUUGUUCGGAAUUACUGGGCGUAAAGCGCACGUAGGCGGACUAUUAAGUCAGGGGUGAAAUCCCGGAGCUCAACUCCGGAACUGCCUUUGAUACUGGUAGCCUAGAGAUCGGAAGAGGUGAGUGGAAUUCCCAGUGUAGAGGUGAAAUUCGUAGAUAUUGGGAAGAACACCAGUGGCGAAGGCGGCUCACUGGUCCGAUACUGACGCUGAGGUGCGAAAGCGUGGGGGAGCAAACAGG